rnacentral:tRNA from 1 species
UGAGUUAAAGUCCGCUGGCUAGGGCGUUUAGUUGUUAAUUAAAAUUUUGCGGGAUCGAGGCCCGUUAAUUCAG